rnacentral:lncRNA from 1 species
UUCUCGGAGGACGUGGUCUAGAUUCUCAUUUGCCCCCUCACAUUUCGGGCAAGCCAUAUUCGCCACUAGUUGUUUAUGAUUCAAAUUAACUAGUGAAGGAAUAAAAUUUCUAGAUAUUCUCCAAACUGUAAUUUUUAGCUUUGUUGGAAGCUGUAGGUUCCAUAGCUGUCUGUAAAAGUCUCUAGAGGUGGUAUGUAAAUCAUUAAAAUUAGGGC